GACGAACGCUGGCGGCGUGCUUAACACAUGCAAGUCGAACGGAAAGGCCUGCUUUCCCUUGUGGAUUGCGGGUACUCGAGUGGCGAACGGGUGAGUAACACGUGAGUGAUCUGCCCCCAACUUGGGUAUAAGCCUGGGAAACUGGGUCUAAUUCCCGAUAGGACUGCAGGGUGGUGCCUGUGGUGGAAAACGAGUUUCUAGUGGUUGGGGAUGAGCUCGCGGCCUAUCAGCUUGUUGGUGGGGUAAUGGCCUACCAAGGCGGCGACGGGUAGCCGGCCUGAGAGGGUGGACGGACACAUUGGGACUGAGAUACGGCCCAGACUCCUACGGGAGGCAGCAGUGGGGAAUAUUGCACAAUGGGCGGAAGCCUGAUGCAGCGACGCCGCGUGGGGGAUGACGGCCUUCGGGUUGUAAACUCCUUUCGACCGCGAGGAAGCCACCUGGUUGGAAGGGUGGUGACGGUAGUGGUAGAAGAAGCACCGGCUAACUACGUG
rnacentral:rRNA from 1 species